rnacentral:lncRNA from 1 species
GGGUCCUAGAGGUCCGGACGGAAUGCCAGGCGAACUCGGCGCUGAAGGCAAAAAGGUAAAGGCGGUCCUUCAGAGCUCACCUCAUGACUAAAGAUAAAUGCUGUACACGUUUGAAUCUAACGUUAAUUUAUGUCCCCUCACAGGGUCUUGGUGGUCCUCCAGGAAAAAUCGGUUUCCCGGGACAAGCGGGCAAGAUCGGGGAGCCUGGGGAGGCGGGGCCAAAGGGAUUUCCGGGCAUUCAAGGGCCAUCCGGGGCUACAGGAGACAAAGGAAUCGCAGGGGAGCCAGUGAGUGAUGCUUUAUUUCUGUUCUACACACAGAAACACAUUUUCCAGUGUUUUUUUAUGUAAACCUACUUUACGUCCUCUGGGUGUUGCACAACUCCAGAAGAUGUGUUUUGAGCACUGUGUAUUUUUGUCUCGUUCAGCCCUGAAAUAUAUAGAACAAUCGAAUUCUCAUGACCGAG